UACAGAGGUCUCAAGCGUUGUUCGGAUUCAUUGGGCGUAAAGGGUGCGUAGGCGGUGGGGCAAGUCGGAUGUGAAAUCCCGGGGCUCAACCCCGGAACGGCAUUCGAUACUGCUCUGCUCGAGUCCUGGAGAGGAGACUGGAAUUUACGGUGUAGCAGUGAAAUGCGUAGAGAUCGUAAGGAAGACCAGUGGCGAAGGCGAGUCUCUGGACAGGUACUGACGCUGAGGCACGAAGGCCAGGGGAGCAAACGGG
rnacentral:rRNA from 1 species